GACGAACGCUGGCGGCGUGCCUAACACAUGCAAGUCGAGCGAAUGAAGUUCCUUCGGGAACGGAUUUAGCGGCGGACGGGUGAGUAACACGUGGGCAACCUGCCUCAUAGAGGGGAAUAGCCUUCUGAAAGGGAGAUUAAUACCGCAUAAGAUGGUAGUACCGCAUGGUCAAGCAAUUAAAGGAGUAAUCCGCUAUGAGAUGGGCCCGCGGCGCAUUAGCUAGGUGGUGGGGUAACGGCUCACCAAGGCGACGAUGCGUAGCCGACCUGAGAGGGUGAUCGGCCACAUUGGGACUGAGACACGGCCCAGACUCCUACGGGAGGCAGCAGUGGGGAAUAUUGCACAAUGGGGGAAACCCUGAUGCAGCAACACCGCGUGAGUGAUGACGGCCUUCGGGUUGUAAAGCUCUGUCUUCAGGGACGAUAAUGACGGUACCUGAGGAGGAAGCCACGGCUAACUACGUGCCAGCCGCCGCAGUAA
rnacentral:rRNA from 1 species